UUUGAGAGAAGGGAUGACACAGUAGGAUAAGCUAAGCACACUGUUGGUUAUGUGUGCCCAAGCAUUGAGGCAGUCAAAGUAGGCAAAUCCGCUUUGAUAAUGCUGGGAUGUGAUGGGGAGCGAAAUUUAGUAGCGAAGUAGCUGAUUUCACACUGUCAAGAAAAGUCUCUAUCGAGGUUAAAGGUACCCGUACCGCAAACCGACACAGGUGGGUGAGGAGAGUAUCCUAAGGCCAGCGAGAGAACUGUUGUUAAGGAACUCGGCAAAAUGACCCCGUAACUUAGGGAUAAGGGGUGCCACCAUCAGGUGGCCGCAGAGAAUAGGCCCAAGCGACUGUUUAC
rnacentral:rRNA from 1 species